AUUGAACGCUGGCGGCAUGCUUUACACAUGCAAGUCGAACGGUAACAGGGAGCUUGCUCCGCUGACGAGUGGCGAACGGGUGAGUAAUGCGUCGGAACGUGCCGAGUAGUGGGGGAUAACGCAGCGAAAGUUGUGCUAAUACCGCAUACGUACUGAGGUAGAAAGUGGGGGACCUUCGGGCCUCACGCUAUUCGAGCGGCCGACGUCUGAUUAGCUAGUAGGUGAGGUAAAGGCUCACCUAGGCGACGAUCAGUAGCGGGUCUGAGAGGAUGAACCGCCACACUGGGACUGAGACACGGCCCAGACUCCUACGGGAGGCAGCAGUGGGGAAUUUUGGACAAUGGGCGCAAGCCUGAUCCAGCCAUGCCGCGUGUCUGAAGAAGGCCUUCGGGUUGUAAAGGACUUUUGUCCGGGAGCAAAUGCCUGGUGUUAAUAGCACUGGGAGCUGAGAGUACCGGAAGAAUAAGCACCGGCUAACUACGUGCCAGCCGCCGCGGUAAAAC
rnacentral:rRNA from 1 species